rnacentral:rRNA from 1 species
UACAGAGGUGGCAAGCGUUGUUCGGAAUUACUGGGCGUAAAGGGCGCGUAGGCGGUCUUCUAAGUCUUGUGUGAAAUCCCUCGGCUCAACUGAGGAACUGCACGGGAUACUGGAAGACUUGAGUUCGGGAGAGGGAAGCGGAAUUCCGGGUGUAGCGGUGAAAUGCAUAGAUAUCCGGAGGAACACCGGUGGCGAAGGCGGCUUCCUGGACCGAUUACUGACGCUGAGGCGCGAAAGCUAGGGGAGCAAACGGG